rnacentral:rRNA from 1 species
GACGAACGCUGGCGGCGUGCCUAAUACAUGCAAGUAGAACGCACAGUUUAUACCGUAGCUUGCUACACCAUAGACUGUGAGUUGCGAACGGGUGAGUAACGCGUAGGUAACCUGCCUGGUAGCGGGGGAUAACUAUUGGAAACGAUAGCUAAUACCGCAUAAUAUUAAUUAUUGCAUGAUAAUUAAUUGAAAGGUGCAAUUGCACCACUACCAGAUGGACCUGCGUUGUAUUAGCUAGUAGGUGAGGUAACGGCUCACCUAGGCGACGAUACAUAGCCGACCUGAGAGGGUGAUCGGCCACACUGGGACUGAGACACGGCCCAGACUCCUACGGGAGGCAGCAGUAGGGAAUCUUCGGCAAUGGACGAAAGUCUGAACGAGCAACGCCGCGUGAGUGAAGAAGGUUUUCGGAUCGUAAAGCUCUGUUGUAAGAGAAGAACGGGUGUGAGAGUGGAAAGUUCACACUGUGACGGUAGCUUACCAGAAAGGGACGGCUAACUACGUG